UACGUAGGUGGCAAGCGUUGUCCGGAUUUACUGGGCGUAAAGAGCGCGCGGGCGGUCGUUCAAGUCGCGUGUGAAAGCCCCCGGCUCAACUGGGGAGGGUCACGCGAUACUGAUCGACUCGAAGGCAGGAGAGGGUAGUGGAAUUCCCGGUGUAGUGGUGAAAUGCGUAGAUAUCGGGAGGAACACCAGUGGCGAAGGCGACUACCUGGCCUGUUCUUGACGCUGAGGCGCGAAAGCUAGGGUAGCAAACGGG
rnacentral:rRNA from 1 species